rnacentral:lncRNA from 1 species
UUAUACCGAAAAAUAAUAAUAAUGAAUAAAACUCCUAUCUCUUGCUUGUUGUGCUGUGAUUCGUGGUUUGUUUGCAGGUGGAACGAGCGUUGUGCGCGGUGACGUGCGCGACAUGCGGGGCGACGUGCAGGAACUGCUGCGGCGCGAGUUUGCUGCAAUGCCUAGGGUUUCUGCUAAAUUUUUUGGUUUGGGGGCUAGCAGGCUAGGUUUGUAAUGGGCCCGGGUGUAAUUUGGGUUUUGGGUAUUAGUUGGGUCUAUUUUGAGUGGGCCGGGCAAAAUGGGCUAUUACAGC